GAACAAAAGGAUUGUCCUUCCCCUGAAGAUCUUACAGUAUGGAGAACCCUAGCACAGAGAAGUAAAGUAAUUUGCCCAGCAUCAUCAAUCAGUGAGUCAGGGGCAGAACUGGGAACAGAUGUUCUGAUUCCUGGUGUUAUGAUCUGCUGAACCACACUGCCUCUUCAAGACCUGCUCAAUUUGGUGGCUCUGCUGAGACGGCUACUCAAGGAGUUGCGGGGGUCGUGCCUGCAGACGGGCAGUGCACGGAGACCCCCUUCCCCCCAGGAGCCGCUGCCGAACAUGGCGGCUGCUUCCAGUGGCAUGGGGCCAGGGCAGACAGGGAGCCUGCCUUAGCCCUGCUGCAUCACUGCCUGAGAGCAUGCCUUCUCCUGGGAUAAGCCACAAAGGGUAGACUGGAAUCCGUGAAAGCACAAACAGAAGUCCAGAUCCCGUGAUCACAUUGACCAGG